GACGAACGCUGGCGGCGUGCUUAACACAUGCAAGUCGAACGGAAAGGCCCUGCUUUUGUGGGGUGCUCGAGUGGCGAACGGGUGAGUAACACGUGAGUAACCUGCCCUUGACUUUGGGAUAACUUCAGGAAACUGGGGCUAAUACCGGAUAGGAGCUCCUGCUGCAUGGUGGGGGUUGGAAAGUUUCGGCGGUUGGGGAUGGACUCGCGGCUUAUCAGCUUGUUGGUGGGGUAGUGGCUUACCAAGGCUUUGACGGGUAGCCGGCCUGAGAGGGUGACCGGCCACAUUGGGACUGAGAUAAGGCCCAGACUCCGACGGGAGGCAGCAGUGGGGAAUAGUGCACAAUGGGCGGAAGCCUGAUGGAGCAACGCCGCGUGCGGGAUGGCGGCCUUCGGGUUGUAAACCGCUUUCGCCUGUGACGAAGCGUGAGUGACGGUAAUGGGUAAAGAAGCACCGGCUAACUACGUG
rnacentral:rRNA from 1 species